rfam:Danio rerio chromosome 18, GRCz11 reference primary assembly.
AAAACGACUUUUUUAAAAGUCAACAAAACACUUUUUACAGUUUAA